rnacentral:rRNA from 1 species
CCUACGGGAGGCAGCAGUAGGGAAUCUUUCACAAUGGGCGAAAGCCUGAUGGAGCAACGCCGCGUGCAGGAUGAAGGCCUUCGGGUUGUAAACUGCUUUUAUAAGCGAGAAAUAUGAUGGUAACUUAUGAAUAAGGAUCGGCUAACUACGUGCCAGCAGCCGCGGUCAUACGUAGGAUCCGAGCAUUAUCCGGAGUGACUGGGUGUAAAGAGUUGCGUAGGUGGCAUAAUAAGUAGCUAGUGAAAUCUGGUGGCUCAACCAUUCAGACUAUUGGCUAAACUGUUAAGCUCGAGACCGUUAGGAGUAACUGGAAUUUGUGGUGUAGGAGUGAAAUCCGUAGAUAUUAGAAGGAACACCAAUAGCGUAGGCAGGUUGCUGGGACGGUUCUGACACUAAGGCACGAAAGCGUAGGGAGCAAACGGGAUUAGAUACCCCUGUAGUC